ACACUCCUCUCAAUCCCAUCUCCGAUCUCCCUGCCACCGACUCUUUGUUGCCGCCGCCGCCGCCGUCCGAGGGGAGACGCCGCCGCCGCGUCUCCAGGGCAGGGCGGCUUGAAUCCCUGUCGCCGGGAUCGCCCCCGCCGAACUCCGGGCCAUGGCGAGAUCCAGCAGACCAUGGCGGCGAUCAGCGCCGGGACAGGACCAGGAGGCCGCCGGCGUCUCCCUGAUCCGUGACCCCGACGCCAUGGAGCUGCUCGUCAAGGCACGCGCAGGUCCAGCGGCAGGAAGGGCAAAGAGGAGGUCUAGCCUUUCUCACGCGGCACGCAGGCACUCACGCAACCACCACGGAAAACGCCGGGAGGGAACCCUAGACGCCCGCCCGGCCAUGGCCGCCACCGCAGCACAGGAUUCGGUUUUUGUACAACACCAUCACGGAUGCAAACAACAAGGGCUUUAGCGUGCCAGUCACCUCGGUGUUGCUUCUUUCGGACCACGGCGGCGACGGCGCUGUUCGACAACAACUACAAAAACAGCCACGGAGUGGACCUCUCCGGUGGGCAGCUGGGCGUCAUUCAGGAAGAGCACCAGCGUCAUGCCAAGCUGGUGACAUGCAGCCGGAGCUUCGUCGCGGAAGGGGCGACCCUCCUCCUCCAAACAAGACCGUGGGCACGAGCGACGUGCUUGCCGCUGUCGAGGUAGAGGCGCCAUUGGUGCCGAACGUCCUGCAGGAGAUCGUCCAGAACAGGACGACCACGCCCGCGAGGCGGCGAGGCCUGCUCGGGUUCAAGCGAGUGUCAAAGUCGUUGUUGAUGUUGCUCUCUGUUGCUACUACUGUAUGAAUAAAGUGACAAGUCGCUGGUGUACGAAUAAAGAGUGGGUAGCUAAUUUGGUUUCCAGUAUGAAGAAUGAGACAUAGCGCCGCUAGCUGGAGGAAGAUUAAUUUCAACAACAUGGUGGCCAGAGGUACAUUCCUUACCAGAAAUUAUAUAUUGUAGUUGUUCAACAAUUCUUUUUUGCCUGACUAACGCAGUUAUUCAACUGAAACAUCAACUUGUCUUUCUAACUCACAUGGCGCAAGCAAAAGAUGAAGAGGAAGCAGGAGAAGGACGGGAAAUCCUCUGAAAAGGAAUUUGAGUUCUAGAGAGCUUUGUUGGGUUACCACACCAUAUUUGUGCAUGGAAGUUAAACCAUCGGAGUGGGAGUUUGAGGCAACAGUAAUGGCAAAACUUGGGCUGCUGACCGGAGCCCGCAAUUUUGUUAUUUCUGGAAUUUCUCCCAACCAUCAAGGAAGUACGACUGGAUGUCAUCUUUUUGUCAUUGUAUAGGUGGAUAUGUUGGGGCACACGUCAUUUUAACACCACUAGGUUUCUGAAGUAGCUGAUUAUAGUUUGGUAAUGGACAUACAUUCUUUGAAGAAUUAAAUGUAUUACUCACUUGAUUUAAUAGCUCAUUUUAUGCAUAUUCAAAAUACUGAAUGAUAGAAUGAUAUGCUGCCCGUGAUAGUUGUUUCUUGUUUUAUUGGACGUUGGAGCUUUAACUUGUAAUUUGAUCUAUUUAUCCAUUUUUUAUCAUGAAUAGUACGACCAAUGAGGUAGAGGUGAAAUGCUCUGUAAAUAAAGAGAGACUAAGAUGAUUUCCUAUACUACAAUUUUGUAGAGAUGUGGAGAAGGAAAGUGUUACUGUUCUUUCAAUAAAGUUUCAUGUUCUGAGUCUGCAUGGCAUGAAAUUCUCUAAUUUUUUUUCUUUUAGUUUCUUGAGAGGAACAAGUCGCCAUGGACAGGUGAGAUCGAAAGAUGGCACCAUGGUCACGAGGAGCGGCGACUGAGAGGAUAGGAAACAAAUACCGGUGGCCGCGACGGCCCGAGCGUUUGGGAGAUGGGAUGGAGUGGCGGUUGUGGGGCCGUGUCGACACGACCAGUUGCGAGAGCGGUGGCUGCACGGACGCACUUGUGGAGGUGUCGGUAUGCACCCUGGUUUUGAGCCUGUCAUGUCGGAACUAUGUACUUCAGCACAUCCUCUCAUCUCUCUCUCCCUGGGAUGCCCUGGCCUCUCCUUUCUUUGUCCGCGAGUGAUGGCAGCAGGCGAUCCGGAGAACGGGGUGUGGCAGACGGGAAUGGGGACCGGUGGCAGCAGGGAGUGAGAUUUGGUCUCUCUCUCUUCAAGAGGACGGUGCCAUGACAAACUUUGUGAUGCAAACGCAUCAUCUCUGCAACUUUCUAAUGCAAACGAAUCAGGUUCCAUGAUAGAUUUGUUUUUUUGACAGUGAAUAUUGACAAUGAACCAUUUUUCUGCCUGACUUGAAUCAUCAAUGUAAUACGUUGUGUAUUGCUGGUGAGAUCUUAUGUAUUCCUUUAGUUUGUCUACACUCAACCAAUUUUGAACUGUCACUCAUAUAUGUUGUCUGUUAUUUUAUUUUUCCCAGGGAGAAUGUGACGCCGGACACUACAGAAAUGAGUUUAGUAAAGGAUUAAAACUAAUUGUCAUAUGAUGGGAAAUUGGUUUCCUAUGCAAUAAACUUUACAUCCUCUUUUUUUUCUUUACAAGGGAUGGUGACUAUGAUAUUGUCUAUAUCUGGUGGUCUGAAAGGCUUUCAAGGGAAGCGCCACGUUGUUGCUUAUUCCAUGCGAUGAGCACUCUAAUCUUCCUUGUAUGAUAUUAGGAUGUGAGCUUUCAAAAUUUUAUUUCGUUAGUUAAAGCUGUUGUUGGCAUUGUGAUGAAUUAUAAAAAGGUUGUUUGUCCAAGGCUAAUUGCCUCUUUUAUUGUUGGGUAACCAUCCUUUUCCCGCCAAAAUACUUUCCCAUGGUAUAAUUUAUUGAUGAUAUAUGGUGUUAAUAUAAUUGUAGUGUAGAUUUUUCUCAUCCAAAUGCGUCGAUAUAUAAGACUGAAAGUGUUUUGCUAUAUGAUUCCUGUAAAAGCAGUAUUUAAGUUUUUCUGUGGUGAAUGGUGUCUAACAUAUGAGAAUAUUUUCUAUACCCAUUUGACAUUGGUCAGCUACAUUUUCAUCUUACUUUAUAUGAAUUCUUUUCAGACUUGUAACCAACUAUACACAUCACAUUCUGUACUACAUUUAUGUGCAUUUGGAUCUCGCCAAGGCUAAGGUACUGUGAUUCAAGCUUUUCUUUCUAGCUAGGAUUUUAUUUUCUACAAACCGAGGAAUAUCUAACAUACUAGCAGAAGGAAGCGCCGAGGAAGAGGGUAGAGGAGAUGGACACCUAAUGUGCAAGUUCCUGAAUUUCAAUGUUUUCCUGCAAAAACACUUUCCCAUGGUAGAAUUUAUAUGCUGUGUUACUAUUGGGUGUAGCAAUUUCGCAACUCUGGGAAGAGCUUUUGUGGUAGGGCGUCAAAUGUGCCAUCACCCGCGUCGACCUCUCGCCGAUCGCUGUCGCGGGGAUGUGCGACCAACGGGCGGAGCAGGGCACCAGUGAUAAGUUCACCGAUUUGGUCGACUCACCGUUCCCUUCCUCUGUCCAUGCGACGCCGCCUGUCGUUGUUGGGUGUUAAUUCGUUAGGCCCCUUAUGGCGCUACAUAGUGUGUUCAUCUCGCCUGCCUUCUUAUGAGAAAUCAUGUACUGAAGGUAAGAUAUUAUUCAUUUACAUUUUAUUUCUUUCUGAUCAUCGAACAAGAUCUUCGCUUUGGAGAUCUUCUGACUACAUGCACGAAUUUUAGGUCCUACUUGCACAGUUGCCUGCACUUUGGGUUGAGAAAUAUCUUAUAAUUAACAGUACGAUAAUACUUGCAGGAUUAUCUCAGUAGUCAGCACCACCAUCUGAGAUCGCACAUUUAGAACCACGGUGGCACACAGAAAAGUAGUAGUACCAAGUUCAUAUGGUCAAAUAACUAAUAUGAAAUACUACCCUCAGUUUAGAUCCAUUUCAGAGGGUCUCAUAUCAACACCUAUAUGUGGGAGUUUCAGAAUAUAGACUUACUUAUAAGCUCGGAUAAUAUAUUAAGCUUGAAAUGUACUCCCUGGUUCUGUAGGGGUUUCUGAAAUGAGUAGAAGAUUAAUAUCUGCUAAUUAACAGUACAUAUUGAUUUACUUAUCGAUUUAUUCACAUUCUAUCAGAUUUGUCUUGAAUGUGAUACUUUAUUGACUGUACUGAACACUGGAAGCAAACUGUUUUAUUAUAUAGGAUUAGCCUGCAUUAAUUUCUUUAUAAGUUCUCCUUGAGAUCAAUUUGCAUACUUGGGCCACUAGGGCCUUUGGUUAGUUUACAACUGGAAUUCUAGACACGUAUACUGAGUUCAUGAUGGAAAUAUAUACGAGUAUUCUCAAGGUAUGGAAAAUGUUUUAAUUACUACCAGAUGGAAUUAUUUUCACCAUAUUUCUAGAUAUCAUUUCCUCUGACAACUAUGUGCGAGUUUGCGGAGGAUCCAAAGUGAUGCAUAAAGUGGGAUAUUUUGGCUUUAAUUUAUGUACUCAUGAAAUGGGAAAGAACUAAAUCAACCAAUUUGCAAUGUGAGCAUUCAUUGUUUCAGAAUUUAUAUUCUUCCAUGUUAAAACUCCAGAUGAUGACUUAUAAUGCGCAUAUAGGAUGGUUGCAAGUUAAGAAGGUGAUUUUUGGUGCACCUUCUCAACUACAUCGAUAAUGAAGCUAUAAACAACAUCCUUAAAUUUUUACUCUAUGCUUAUGCAGCUGCAUUGUAAUGCUCAUUUAUUUGUAACGUUUUUGUAUCGUAUCAAGGUACCAUCACUACCAGAAACUGAACUAUUUCUGUGGGUAAUAAUUUUUCCUGUCGGGCCCGCAGUAGCUCACAGGAAUAUGCACUAUAUUCCUGUGCGCCGGCAGAGAACACACAGAAAUAGUUAUAUCCGUGUCGGGCCUUGGUCGGCCCACAGAAGUAAGAUUUAUUCCUGUCGUGCGUAACUCACAGCGAAAAAGGAGCCCAUGUUUGGCGCCAUGGAUUUCAGUCGCGCGCGCAAAAGCAAGCCCGCCCCGCCGCUUAGCCAAUUUUUGGGCCUGCCGCUCACCGGUUAAAAUCUUGGAAUAAAGCCUCUAGUGAAAAAAAUCCCACCUUCCAGAUGCAGACCAGAGCUAUCUUCGCUUCCCAGCCUCAUCCCAAAUCCCUAGCCGCCGCCAGCAGGGGCGCCCCAAAUCCCUCGUCGUUGCCAGCCGGCUGCCCAUCAAAUCCCUCCUCGCCGGAUGCGCCGCAGAUCUCUCACCGCCGGAUGCACCUCCUCCAGCCUCUCGCCCGCUCCCUCCACCAUAUUCGCUGGGUGUCGACCAAGAACGGUCGCCUACAAAUGUUGUCGUCAACCUUCUCACUACCUCCGGAGGAUGGUCGCCGUCAAUGUACCCGCCGCUGCCGUCACUUGACCGCCACCGCAUCCUUAUCCAGGUGACGCCCCUUCCAGAUCCAGGUGCUGUUUUCGUAUUCCCUUCUUUACGAUUUGUUUUCUUUUCUUGAUAACUUUCAUAUGUGCGUACCUCCGGUAGGAUUCAGCAGAAACUACAAGCAUUUUGGCAUCCCUCAUGUGCUGGGUACUGGUGGAAGCAAUGGCUCUACACACAUUUGUUUUGAAUAGGCCAAGCCGUCAAGGUUUACAAGACUUCUCAGAAACAUCACUUCUUACUACGAAGAAAGCAGAGUUAAGCUAUUGACAUUUGACAGUCAAGGACAGGUUUGCAUGAUGUGAAUAUUGCUGCAUGAGGGGAGAAGAAUCUGCAAGACAACACAGGAAGCAAUGAGCAGCUCCAUGGCAAGUACAAGCUAAAUUAUCUGUACAACAAGGAGAGGCUGCAAGAAGUUAAGGUUUUCAACCAAGGCAAGAAAUUCUACAUAUUCUUCUGAAUGAAGAGAUGUCGUUCCCUGUUGUUACAUUAUCGAAUAAUUGCAUAAUGCUUUGGUUUUUUAUUAUUAUGGAGAAGAUGACGACUGCCCUUGUUUUUUGGAAAAUCUGAAAUGGAUAUAUUUGACUCCAUGUCGUUAUACAAUACUUGCAAGAAGCCUCUAAUAACUUAUCUACUCAGGCUGUUAGCUGAUAGUUCUUUCCAACUAAUCCAGAAACUCAGCUUGUCAUUUGAAUGGAUUUUGUCAGUUGCAUGGUCUGUAUAUGAUGCUAGAACAAAUUACUCCAUUGUUUUGUCCUGUAAAACUGGAUAACUUUGAUCUGACAAAAACAGGUAGGACAUAUAUGCCAAUGUUAUUGUGAGAAACUGAGAUAUCAAAUAGAUUAUGCUAAUUAUAUCUUAUAAAUAUUUUCCUAUUUCUUGUUACAUUUUUUCAAGCUCGAUUAUAUCCACUGCAGGGUAACCUUGAAAAGAAGCUUGCAACUUAAGCUACAGAAAAACAUUACAGAAAAUGAGAUCUCACGUUGUGAGUAUUUAGUUGAUGCACUUGUGUAUUUUAUGAUGUCGCACCUCUGUUUUCGUUGACUUUUGGUUCCUGUAUGUAAAUUCUAUGGAAUUGUAUGAUGUGUGACUUUGUAAAAUCUUCAUGUAAGCUAUUGAUAUUGGGCUUCUAUGUUAUAAAUAUUCUGAGUAAUUGAAAAGCUAGUGUAAAUA